rnacentral:lncRNA from 1 species
UGUUUUGAAGAGAUCAAUAAAAUAAAGAUGAAAUAAAAUAAAUGAAUGUGCAUUGAGCGACAUAAAUCGAUUAACAACAUUCAACUUUCCAGGAUCGCAUAAGUUUGGUUUCGUGACUCUGAUCGUAAUCAACGAUGACUCCAUUAAUAGAAAUAUGAAUUAAGAAUCUAAGCUCAACAAGAUAAUACUGCACCAUAUAAUAUAAGUUCUUAGUUUAGGAGAUUGAAAGACAAGAUAACAAGCUAGUCGUUAGCGGAAGCAAAAUAUGAAGCGGAACCCUAGCCUCAGUUCAAUCCCAUCUGCACCAACCGAUCAACCUGAAAAUAUUUAAAAAUAUUUUGGGCUGAGCACUAGUGUACUCAGUGGACUAUGCAUUUUAUAAAUAUUUUAUGAAAUAACCAAGACAGUUUAUCCAAUAUCACAAUCAUAACUCAGAAGGUUUUAAAACACAAAUCCACUUCUAAGCAUGAUAAAACUUUUUCUCAUUAAGUGGCGCUAUGUAACGUUCGAUUGUUACUCGCUGCUUAUGAUCCCGGACUUCUAGCCACCGUCGGAUCGCUUUCUUUUCUCCCAUUUAUCAAUCUCGGGACGCACCCGGUCAGAUCAAUAAUCAUAACUGUGCUUCGGAACACAUCCAGACAAGCACCCUUAUAACACCUCUUAGCUUUGUUAGUGCACGAUGACGAUCAACCCAUCGAGCCACUAACCUUGUGUACACAAUCCUCAUCUAACAUGUUAGGCCAAAUGAGAAUCUCGAUCGAUGCUUAUGUGAGCAUUAAACAAUACAGAACGCACAAAAAANCAUUUAUAUUGGAUAAACAAAUAACUUUCAUGAAAUAUCAGAGCUUAUAUAACUCAAGAUACAUUUGUAAAAUAAAGCCCACCUUGAUUGGACAAAGUCCGAAGUCAAACGUAACUCGUCUUGUAAAAGCAAUAUUGCUAAUCCUCUUGGUCAACUGAGCCUACAAGAUAAUCUAAUCUUAAUAGGUCUUGUGAUACUAAGUUUAGAUAAUAGCAAAGCAAGGCUACUAAGUUCUGAUUCGCUUUGCCCGGGUUUUAAAACUCACUUUAUAAACUUGAAAAUAAAUUUUCAUCUCAGGAUACCAACAAUACCCUUGCUUGACUUUUCAUAAACUUUUAACUAAAAAAAUAAUAAUAAUUUCAAUACAUAAAUAUUUUCUUUUAAAAAACAUAGUAUAUUCUCAUUCUAAAUAAAACAUUUAUAUAUACGCAUAUAACAUAUAAUUCGCAUAAUUAUAUGCAUAUAAAAUUAUGAUGCAGCUGCAUUGCUUAAUAAUUAAGCAAGCCCAUUACUCAAAUUAAUUAUCCCAACAAAGCAAAUAAACAAGCCCAAGUUUUAAUUAAUCGUAAUGGCCCAAAAUAAGCCCAAAAUAAACUCCACCCAAUUUCUCUCAUCUUCUUCACGCAGCCAAUCUCCUUUCUCUCUCUUACGCUCAAACUCCAUAAACCAUCCUUCCCCUUUUCCUUCUCCACGCUGUCUGCCGCCUCCCACGAAUCCGGCGGCGCGUCUCCGGCGAUCACCACCGCCGCCCUCAUCUCUCUCUAUCCUUCUCCUUCGCCCGUCCCUCUCCCUCUGUAUCCUUUCUCCGCCGCACUGCACAGCCACGACUGUCGCUGCACAGCCAGCACCGGUGGCCGUCACCGUUACUUCCUCAGACCGGCGCCACCCCUUCCUCUGUCUCUAUUUCUUCUCAGACCCUUCACCCACAAUUCCCCCAAAUUUCAGAAACCUUCCUCCCUCAAUCUUAGUCCUAAGUCUCUCUGAAAUCCCCUCCCUUUCCUGUCACUCGACAACAGGCACGUGCCGCCGCUUCACCCUCGAUUCCGGCGAGAAUCGCCGCCCUACUCCAUCCGCGACAACAGCAUCAGCCCCACAGCCCUGUCACGCCGCCCAGCCGCCCUCCACCCUCCAUCUCCUCGUUCUCUCAUCGAACGGGCAGCAGCCUCCGCCGCCUUCCCGAUUCUCACCAUCAACGAUCCCGUCUCCCUCUCUAUUCUCACGGCGAACGGCAAAAAUUGCCGCCCCCUUCUCCUUCGAUCCGGACAGCAGCAGCCCUUCAGCCCCUGUCGCCGCUCUCCCUGCUUCAACCCCUCCUAGCCCCGACUGAACUCACGCCACACUAACACGCACAACAAGAAUCAAACGCAGCAGGAUCGAAGCUGUAAAGACUGAAGUUUUAUCAAAAUUAAAGGGUUCGUUCUUCUCUGUGUUUCUUCAAUUCCUUCACAAAAGUCCAGCUCAAAGUAUAAAUGUAUUCUCUCUGCUUAUAUAAAGUAUAGAUGUGAAUUGAAGAGUAUAUAUAUACACAUCAAUUAUGAAGUCCUUGUUUCGGGUAUGAUUUCUGUAUAAAUGUCGAGGCACAAGUUUGAUGAUAUCGUCUGUGAUGAUUUUCGUUGGUUUUGUGUGUCAUUAAUAUUAAUCAAAUAACCAAGCAGUAACAGAUCAAAGAGUAGCAAAAGGAGUAGAUUAUGUAAAGCUAUGAAGUUAAAGGUGAAACCUUGGUGUGGUUUUGUUUGAGUUUUCAGCAAAAAUGUAUGAAUUAUGCUUAAGGUCUGAUUUGAUGAGAAAGACAAAAGGAAAGUGAGUAAUGGAGCCUGAACCUUUCUUUUUCUUCUAUUUCUUGAGUAAGUCGUACUUUGUUUGUUGCCUUGUGGAAGAUAUUGGAGUGAGAUAUGGAGAAAAAUGACCCGAAUGAUCGGGAGGAAAUGAGGAUGAUUGGUGAUGGGUGAUUGGUGUAAAGGGUGUUUCUGCAGUAAAGAAUGCAGAAUGAAAUGGUGAUUGGGGUAAAAGAGUAGAGAAUUUAUGGAAGGUAAAAAGAAACGUGGCCUUUUGGGAGCCAUAUCUCAUAAACAAGAUUUGGAUAAUUAAACCAUCAUUUGAAUAUAACUAUGAAAAUAUCUAGAUUUCUUUCUCCUUUCCACGUGAUUCUUUUGACAAAAGGAAUUGGGCCUUUGGGCAAAUCAACAGAUGGGGCUUAGCCCACUGGCCACCGGGUCCUCACUUAAGUGAAGUGACCCGGGUUCGAUCUAGGGCUGGG